GACGAACGCUGGCGGCGUGCUUAACACAUGCAAGUCGAGCGGUAAGGCCCUUUCGGGGGUACACGAGCGGCGAACGGGUGAGUAACACGUGGGUGACCUGCCCUUAGCUCUGGGAUGAGCCUGGGAAACUGGGUCUAAUACCGGAUAUGACUCCAUGACGCAUGUUGUGGGGUGGAAAGCCUUGUGCGGCUAGGGAUGGGCCUGCGGCCUAUCAGCUUGUUGGUGGGGUGANGGCCUACCAAGGCGACGACGGGUAGCCGGCCUGAGAGGGCGACCGGCCACACUGGGACUGAGACACGGCCCAGACUCCUACGGGAGGCAGCAGUGGGGAAUCUUGCGCAAUGGGCGAAAGCCUGACGCAGCGACGCCGCGUGGGGAUGACGGCCU
rnacentral:rRNA from 1 species